rnacentral:rRNA from 1 species
UACGGAGGGGGCUAGCGUUGUUCGGAAUUACUGGGCGUAAAGCGCACGUAGGCGGCUUUGUAAGUUAGAGGUGAAAGCCCAGGGCUCAACCCUGGAAUUGCCUUUAAGACUGCAUCGCUUGAACAUCGGAGAGGUAAGUGGAAUUCCGAGUGUAGAGGUGAAAUUCGUAGAUAUCGGGAAGAACACCAGUGGCGAAAGCGCUCUACUGGGCCAAGACUGACACUGAGGGACGAAAGCUAGGGGAGCGAAAGGG